rnacentral:rRNA from 1 species
UGAGGAAUAUUGGUCAAUGGACGGAAGUCUGAACCAGCCAUGCCGCGUGCAGGAAGACGGCUCUACGAGUUGUAAACUGCUUUUGUACGGGGGUAACCUCAUCUACGUGUAGAUGACUGAAAGUACCGUACGAAUAAGGAUCGGCUAACUCCGUGCCAGCAGCCGCGGUAAUACGGAGGAUCCGAGCGUUAUCCGGAUUUAUUGGGUUUAAAGGGUGCGUAGGCGGCUUUUUAAGUUAGCGGUGAAAUACGGGGGCUUAACCCCCGGGUGUCCGCUGAUACUGGGAGGCUAGAGAGCAGAUGCAGCAGGCGGAAUGUGUGGUGUAGCGGUGAAAUGCAUAGAGAUCACACAGAACACCGAUUGCGAAGGCAGCUUGCUAAUCUGUAUCUGACGCUGAGGCACGAAAGCGUGGGUAGCGAACAGGAUUAGAUACCCCCGUAGUCC